UGCCACAGCCAUAUCAUCCUACUGCCCAGGACCGGUUACUCACUGAAGCUAAGCAGGGCUGAGCCUGGUCAGUACCUCGACAGGAGGAGACCACACGGGAAACAAGGUUGCUGUUGAAA
ensembl:rRNA 5S_rRNA 5S ribosomal RNA